rfam:Schistosoma mattheei strain Denwood, Zambia genome assembly, scaffold: SMTD_scaffold0005431
AUUCGACUGAUGAGUCCUAGCUAGGACGUAACGCGUGUCCUGGAU